rnacentral:rRNA from 1 species
ACGCUGUAAACGAUGUCGACUUGGAGGUUGUUCCCUUGAGGAGUGGCUUCCGGAGCUAACGCGUUAAGUCGACCGCCUGGGGAGUACGGCCGCAAGGUUAAAACUCAAAUGAAUUGACGGGGGCCCGCACAAGCGGUGGAGCAUGUGGUUUAAUUCGAUGCAACGCGAAGAACCUUACCUACUCUUGACAUCCACGGAACUUAGCAGAGAUGCUUUGGUGCCUUCGGGAACCCUGAGACAGGUGCUGCAUGGCUGUCGUCAGCUCGUGUUGUGAAAUGUUGGGUUAAGUCCCGCAACGAGCGCAACCCUUAUCCUUUGUUGCCAGCGGUCCGGCCGGGAACUCAAAGGAGACUGCCAGUGAUAAACUGGAGGAAGGUGGGGAUGACGUCAAGUCAUCAUGGCCCUUACGAGUAGGGCUACACACGUGCUACAAUGGCAUAUACAAAGAGAAAGCGACCUCGCGAGAGCAAGCGGACCUCAUAAAGUAUGUCGUAGUCCGGAUUGGAGUUCUGCAACUCGACUCC